rnacentral:rRNA from 1 species
AGUUCGGAUUGUAGGCUGAAACUCGCCUACAUAAAGCUGGAGUUACUAGUAAUCGCAGAUCAGAAUGCUGCGGUGAAUGCGUUCCCGGGUCUUGUACACACCGCCCGUCACACCAUGAGAGUUGGCAAUACCCAACGUACGUGAUCUAACCCGCAAGGGAGGAAGCGUCCUAAGGUAGGGUCAGCGAUUGGGGUGAAGUCGUAACAAGGUACC